rnacentral:rRNA from 1 species
CCUGGCUCAGGACGAACGCUAGCUACAGGCUUAACACAUGCAAGUCGAGGGGCAGCACGGAGAUAGCUUGCUAUCUUGGGUGGACGACCGGCGCACGGGUGAGUAACGCGUAUCCAACCUGCCCUUCAUAUUGGGAUAGCCUUCCGAAAGGGAGAUUAAUACCGAAUAACAUGAGAAGAUUGCAUGAACCUCUCAUGAAAGCUCCGGCGAUGAAGGAUGGGGAUGCGUUCCAUUAGGUAGUAGGCGGGGUAACGGCCCACCAAGGCGACGAUGGAUAGGGGUUCUGAGAGGAAGGUCCCCCACACUGGAACUGAGACACGGUCCAGACUCCUACGGGAGGCAGCAGUGAGGAAUAUUGGUCAAUGGGCGUAAGCCUGAACCAGCCAAGUAGCGUGAAGGAUGACUGCCCUACGGGUUGUAAACUUCUUUUGUAUGGGAAUAAAGUUCAGUACGUGUACUGUUUUGUAUGUACCAUACGAAUAAGCAUCGGCUAAUUCCGUG